GACGUAGGGCGCGAGCGUUGUCCGGAUUUAUUGGGCGUAAAGAGCUCGUAGGCGGCUUGUCGCGUCGAAUGUGAAAUCUCGGGGCUCAACUCCGAGCUUGCAUUCGAUACGGGCAGGCUAGAGUUCGGUAGGGGAGACUGGAAUUCCUGGUGUAGCGGUGAAAUGCGCAGAUAUCAGGAGGAACACCGGUGGCGAAGGCGGCUUUCUGGGCCUUACCUGACGCUGAGGAGCGAAAGCUGGGGGAGCGAACAGG
rnacentral:rRNA from 1 species